rnacentral:lncRNA from 1 species
GGCCUUCUAAUUCAAUCUCUAUUUAUUAUUAGUACACACCGUGAUUCUUCUUUUGAUUCUCCCCGAGGCCUUUCACGGGCCUAUAUGAGAAAUGUUUGUGGUAUGCACUUUCUGUUGGUGUUGGAUUUGGAUGGCUGGAUAGAGCGCUUACCUGAUGAAUUGGGAGACUUGAUUCACCUGAGGUACUUAGGCUUGUUUUACUCACAACUAGAUGAGCUUCCAGGGACUUUAGGGAAUCUUAAAAGACUGCAAACUUUGGAUAUAAGGGGGUGUGGAAAACUACGCAAACUACCAAUACAAAUUCUGCAUAUCCAGCAGUUGAGACACCUUCUAAUGUCCCACUGCUUUAAUGAUGGUGAAAUUAGAGUUCCGAAGGGCAUUGGAACAUUGGUAAAUCUUCACACUUUGUCUGGUAUUUAUGGUGGAGAUGAUAUUGCCAUGGAAUUGAUUGCCUUAACCCAGCUACGAGAGCUCGGCGUUAAGCGUGUGAGUGCCGAUCAUGCCAGUGAGCUGUUUGCAGCUAUAAAGAAGAUGGAGAACCUCACAUCCCUAUCGCUAGAAGCAGAGGGAAACUACUUUGAAGGUACUAUUUUUCCUGAAUCGGAUGCGUUUUCUCCUCCGCCACUUCUUCAAGAGUUUUCCUUACGUGGGGGUUUAAUUGAGAUGCCCGUUUGGUUUGCCUCCAUGGAAAACCUCACCCACCUAUCAUUAGGGUAUUCUAAUCUAUCCGAGAAUCCAACUUCAGUCCUUCAGUUGAUUCCCAAAUUGAAGCAUCUUAAACUCUGGGAAGCCUACAAGGCAAGGCACAUUGGUAAAGAAUUUUGCAAUGCAGGUGGUUUCCCUGUGCUGGAAACUCUCACAAUUGCUUCUGCGUUCCUGGCGGAAUGGACUGAAAUUGAAACUGGAGCUUUUCCACGUUUAAGAUAUCUUUGUUUUUAUUGCUGUCCAAGCUUGAUGUUUCUUCCUGAAGGGUUGCAGAACAUUUCCACACUUCAAGAUCUGUGUUUCUUCCCCUGGAAUCCAGACCUUAAAAGGCGAUUGAAGGGUGAAGAGAAUUACAAGAUCAAGCAUGUCCGAGUAUUUGGGAAGGUUUGAGAACCGUUGAUUUUCCAACCAAGAAAUGGAAAAACAUCAACCACAAUAGUUUCCAGAGGAAGUUUUUCGAGGAUGAAAUGCUUUUGCUUUACUCCUCAAAUAUCAUCUCCUGCUUUCUGUUCAUUUACUUCAAUAUUCUGGUGAUGUGUGCUAUCCUCUACUGUCUUGUAUACCUAAAUUUGUGCAAUCUCCAGCGGAGAAACCAGUGUCCUAGACUCCAAAAAAUCUAUCUUGAUGAUGAACGAUGUGUUUAUCUAUUUGCAUUUCCUUAAUAUCUGGAUUAUUAUCUAAUUAUUCUAUAGAAUUGCCCUUCUUCUAGAUUUCUCUCUAAGGAUUGAAUCAUUAGAAAAUCAAGGUUUUUUAUUCCUGUUUUUUUCGCUUGAAGUGGACUUGCUAGGUAAGAAACACGUCUAUUAUAUUGGCAGCAGUUCAUAUAAAUUAUACAUCCCAUUCCGUGUUUACAUAGAAUCAAAGGCGUAACAAAUAUUGUUUAUGCCUUUUAUUUUAUUCAAUUAAUUAAUUUUAUAUAUGUUUAUUUUUUUAUUAUUUAUUUAAAUAAAAUAUUAAUUUUUGUGAACAGAUUGUCUUGAAGAUCCAAGUUGCAAGAUCAAAUAUCUUGGUCUAUAUGCGACUUUUAACUUUUUAAUUUUUAUUUUUAUUUAUCAGUAAUGAUUAUUUAUUUAUUUAUUAACAUAUGUAUUUUUUAAUUUAUUUUAUUAGAUGUAUAAAUAAGUUUUUUUUAAUUUUGAUUAAAAACAAAACAUUGAAAAAAUCUACAUAUUUAUUUUUUUAUAAAAACCUCAAAGUUAAAUAGCUAUUAAAAACUAGCCGCCAUUGUAGGGUUUGAUAGAAAAGAUAUUGGGCUGGUAUAUCAUAUUAUUACUGUUAUUAACUAUUACCACUAUAUACUAAAAAAUAACAACAGUGCAUUAUUGUGCUCAAUUUGGACAGGACUUUUCAAGAACAAUGUUGUUUUUUUUUUUUUCAUUUUGAUCAUCAAAUAUUAUUAUGAUUAUCAGUAUUAUUGUUAUAUUCUUGCAAGUUAAAUUUAAAUUUACUAUUUUUUUAUAAGUUUAAUUUAUGCAUAUAUGAUCCCCAUAGUCUAAGAAUUAUAAGUUUCAAUCCUAGAUUUAUUUAUUUAUUUAUUUUAGUCUUCGAGUAUUGAAAGAUGUUAGAAAAAAAAAAAAAAAAGUCAGUUGAUCACGUUCUUGUUAUCAAAAAAACCAAUCUUGUUAUCAAUGAAUUUGUCUUACAAAUAUAAGUUCUAUGAAGAAGGUUUAGAACUUUUAUCCUGUUAAAAACACAUAUCAAGACUUAGAAAGUUUUUUUAUUUAUUUAUUUGGUUUGAUUUUAGAUUUUAGACAGAUUAAAUGGUGUUUUGGAGUUAACAUGAGUUUAAUUAGGUUCUUAAAAUGUUUCUUUUUUAAUGUUUUGAGAUAAAAAAUAAAUUGAAAAAUAAUAUUUGAAGCUGCAAAACUCAUACUUUAAAUUCAAAUCAUCAAAAUGGUAAAAAUUCAAACUAGAAUGUGGCACCCAUUGUUUCUUAUUAAAAAAGGAAUAUUAGAAAAAAUAAAGCAUGGAAUAAAAGUUUUUUUUUAUGGUAAAAUGAACCAUUACUUUGAAUUAUGAUAUAAGAAGGUAAUAUGCAAUUGUUUUUUUUUAAAAAAAUGUUCAUAAAUAUUAAAUGAGAAUGAAACUAUUUUGUUAUGUUUUAUUGCAUAAUGUUUACAGAAUUUUGAUGAUUAAUUAUUCUUUAUGUUUUUCUUCUGUUGUGUACAAAUUAUUGAUUCAUGAUUUUUUAUAUUUGUAAUGAAAAUUGCUUUUCAAAUCAUGAUAAAUCUUUAUUUAAAAAACAAUACUUUUAUUAAAAAACAUGGUUUUUGAAAACCAAGAAGAAAUACAUGAAUAAUAAAAGUGAUUUUUAAUUGAAAACGAUAUAUAUUUUUCUUUUUUAAUUCAAAUCAUUAAUAUUUUUAUAAAUAAAUAUUUUAAUUAUUUGUAGUUUUUAUUCAAAAACAUGCUACUAAUUAAAAAAAAAAACAUGUUCUUGUCAUACAAAAAUACAUGAAUAAGAAAUGAAAAACUCACUUAACAUAAUUUUUACACGACUAUUUGUUUUUCUCUCCACGGAAUCGGUUGGAAGUGGACUUGACAGUUAAGAAACACGUCUAUUAGAUUGGCAACAGUUCAUAUAAAUUAUACAUCCCAUUCCGUGUUUACAUAGAAUCAAAGGCGUAGCAAAUAUUGUUUUGGCCUUUUAUUUUAUUUAAUUAAUUAAUUUUAUAUAUGUUUAUUUUUGUAUUAUUUAUUUAAAUAAAAAAUUAAUCUUUGUGCAUAGAGUUAUUAAACACGAUUGUCUUGAAGAUCCAAGUUACAAGAUUAAAUAUUUUAUCUAUAUGUGAAUUUUAACUUUUUAAUUUUUAUUUUUAUUUAUCGUUAAUGAUCAUUUAUUUAUUAACAUAUGCAUUUCUCAAUUUAUUUUAUUAUAUGUAUAAAUAAGUUUUUUUUUUAAUUUUGAUUUAAAAAAAACAUUGAAAAAAUCUACAUAUUUAUUUUUUUAUAAAAAAAUUCCAACUCUAAAUCAAAUAGCUAUUAAAAACUAACCAAUGUAGGUUUGAUAUAGAGGAUAUUGGGCUGGUAUAUCAUAUUAUUACUGUUACACCAUUAAAUAGUUUUACCGACGGUUUAAGUUCGUCGGUGUGAGGCACAAAAACCAUCGGUAAUAUUUUUACCGACGGGCUCAUCGACAAAACACGUUAGUUGAAAUUUUAAUUGUUGGUAAUUUUUCUUUUCAUCACUAAUUCUAUUAAUAAUUAAAAAAAACCAAAUAUCGACGAGACAACAGUAUAUUAUUGUAAAAACUAGCCACUAUAGCUUAGAUUGAGAGGAUAGUGGGCUGAUAUAUCAUAUUGUUACUCUUAUUAACUAUUACCACUGUAUACUUAAAAAAAAUAAAAAUGUACAUUGUUGUGCUAAAUUUGGAUAGGAAUUUUAAAGAAUGGUGUUGUUUUCUUUCAUUUUUAUCAUCAAAUAUCAUUAUGAUUAUAAUUAUAAUUAUUAUUAUUGUUAUAUUCUUGCAAGUUAAAUUUGAAUUCGCUUCUUUUUAUUUAUAAGUGUAAUUUAUGCAUAUAUGAUCCCUAUAACUUUAGAAUUAUAAGUUUCAAUCAUAGACUUAUUUAUUUAUUUAUUUAUUUCAAUCUCGGAGUGUUGAGAGAUGUUAAGAAAAUAGAAAAGAAAGAAAGAAAUUCAGUCAGUCACAUUAUGGUUAUGAAAAAAGCCAAUCUUGUUAUCAAUGAAUUUGUCUUCCAAAUAUGAGUUCUAUGAAGAUGGUUUAGAAUUUUAAUCUUGUUAAAAACAGCGAUCGAGAUUUAGAAAGUUUUUUUUAUUUGGUUUGAUUUUAGAUAUUUAGACGGAUUAAAUGGUGUUUUGGAGUUAAAAUGAAUUUAAUUAAGUUCUUAAAAUGUUUUUUUUUUUAAUGUUUUGAGAUAGAAAUAAAUUGAAAAAUAGUAUUUGAAGUUGCAAAACUCAUACUUUAAAUUCAAAUCAUCAAAAUGGUAAAAAUUCAAACUAGAAUGUGGCACCCAUUGUUUCUUAUUAAAAAAGGAAUAUUAGAAAAAAUAAAGCAUGGAAUAAAAGCUUUUUUAUGGUAAAAUGAACCAUUACUUUGAAUUAUGAUAUAAGAAGGUAAUAUACAAUUGUUUUUUUUUAAAUGUUCAUAAAUAUUAAAUGAGAAUGAAACUAUUUUGUUAUUUUUUAUUGUAUAAUUUUUACAGAAUUUUGAUGAUUAAUUAUUCUUUUAUGUUUUUCUUCUGUUGUGUACAAAUUAUUGAUUCAUGAUUUUUAUAUAUUUUUUAAUGAAAAUUGCUUUUAUUAUUCAUGUAUUUCUUCUUGGUUUUCAAAAAACAUGUUACUAUAUAUUUUGUUAUUUUUUAUUGUAUAAUUUUUACAGAAUUUUGAUGCUUAAUUAUUCUUUUAUGUUUUUCUUCUGUUGUGUACAAAUUAUUGAUUCAUGAUUUUUAUAUUUUUUUUGAAUGAAAAUUGCUUUUCAAAUCAUGAUAAAUAUUUAUUUUAAAAACAAUACUUCUAUUAAAAAAACAUGUUUUUUGAAAACCAAGAAGAAAUACAUGAAUAAUAAAAGCAAUUUUUAAUUGAAAACGCUAUAUAUUUUUAUUUUUUAAUUCAAAUCAUUAAUAUUUUUAUGAAUAAAUAUUUUAAUUAUUUGUAGUUUUUAUUCAAAAACAUGCUACUAAUUAAAAAAAAACUUGUUCUUGUCAAACAAAAAUACAUGAAUAAGAAAUGAAGAACUCACAUAACAUAAUAUUUUUUUCUCUCCGCAAUUUAAAUCAUUGUAUAUUUUUUUUAAUAAAUAUUAAUUUUAAUUACCACAAAACUAAAUGAAAACAGAUUUUGAAAACCGCCACACAAGGGAAAAAAUUAGUAAAUAUAUUAAAAGAGCUAGACUUUUUAUUGUAACUCUGAUAUUGUUCAAAUAGAAAUAAAACAUCGUGGAUUACUCCGUGGAAAAACACUGCAAUCUCUAUUGUUGACCUACAAAUAAAAAAAUAUUGAUUUUAUGCUCUAGUCCCUAAAGCUUUUAAUUUUUAGUCAUUUUAAUUUAAAGUCUCUUAGUUUUUGUCUUCAAACUUCAUUUUUAUAAUAUUUCAGUUUUUAUAUUCCGAGAAAAGAGAGAGAAAUUUUUCACUCAUCCAUAUUUAUCCGACAAAAAAAUCAAUCUUAAUAUCAAUAAAUUCAUUUUAGAUUGGGAAGGUCAAUAAAAAUGCUUUUGCUCUUUAACCAUACCAAAAAAUAGAUUGAAGCAUUUUAUUAUAGCUUUGGUAUUGUUCAAGCAUUGAUAAAACCUAUGAAAUCUCUAUUGUCCAGUAAGAAAUAAAACACUGUUCAUUUUACACUUUGAUCAUUGGAGUUUUCAAUUUUUUUUCAUAUUUAAUCCAUGUAGUUUUUAUUUUGUUCAUUUUAGUCUUGGAACUUUAUUUUCACCACAUUUUUGUUCCUAGAUUCUAAGAGAGGAGAAGGAAAAUAGUUAAAAAACAAAGAAGAUAAAUAUUUUAGCUAGCCAUAAAAGAGACUAAUGUUGGUGUUAAUGAGUUAAUUUUAGAAAGAUAAAAUUAAUGGAUGUGGUAUUUCUCCUUUAACCAUGAUGGAAAAAGUAAAUUGAGGCCUGAAAUUUUUUUUUUCCUUCUUGAUUUAUGAUUUUUUAAGUGAUUAAAUAAUAUUUUGGGAUUGUAAAUGAAGUUACCAAGGUUCAUAAUAUUUAUUUUUAAUUGUUUUUAGAUGAAAAGAAGUUGAAGUUUUGAUUUUAAGGGUCCAAAUAUCUCAGAAUCUUCUAGUACUCGAAAAUUGUACCGGUAGAUAACACGUAGUCUAACCAAGCAGAUAAUGUGUUGUCUAUUUAAUUAUUUUUUUAUAUAAAAAAAUAGGUUAGACUACAUGUAUUCUGCCCUUCCUUCCAGACUUAGGUGUGAUGGCUCUUCACCUUUUGUUUUUUUCUUACAUUUUUUAUUUUUUUAAUAAAAUUAUCUUUAAAUAAAAUUAUUAAAAUUAUUUUUGAUUGAUGAGUUUAAGUAUUGAAAUUGAAAGGACAAAGAGAGAGCCAAACUUAGAAAAUAGAUGUUGGUGCAGUCUAAACUGGAACACUGUUCGGUAAUUGGGUCAUAUCUCGAGUUCCAGGUGUCCAAAUGACCUUAACUUUUUGAAAAUAUUUGGUAAGACAUAGGUCUAUAACUUUCAUGUGGAGUCCAAGAUUUAAAAAAGUCGUUUUUAAGUCCAAAUUAUAGCAACAACGGAGAAGUCCGAAUCUGUCCUGUAGCUCAGACAUUGUUCAGUGUUGAACCCAUAUCUCGAGUUCUAGAAGUCCAAAUGACCUCAAUUUUUUUUCCUGGAAAGAUAAGACAAUUUCCUAUAACUUUUGUACGUACAGGUGGUUCUAGUUCUGAUGCUAACAAUGACGUUUUAUUUAGACAAGAAGAUAAGAGUUUUCACCAAGUCAAGAGUUGGCCACCCACUUAACAAUUAGUCAUCAAAUCAAUAGUUUCAAAUUUUGGCCUAUAAAAAAAGGCAUUUGCCAUGUAUUUAGGGGCUUGGUUGUUCAUAUCAAGAACUUGUUCUUGCUCUCUUUUUUUAUAUUUGUUUUUAUAAUUAUUAAGUUUUACUUUCAUUAGUAUUUGUUUAUGCUUUUCAUUUUCUUUCCUUUACUUAGUUAAUUUGUAUCUUAUUUAUGUUCUUGUUUUGUUUAUUUAUGUUUCUCUUCUUCAUUAUGUUUAGUUAAGUUUAUUAUGUCAAGGUGAAAAAGUUACACUAAUGGUGUAAGAAUAAGUAUAGUGUAAACUCAACAUGGACCUUAAUGUUUAAUAUUAACAUGUCUUAUCUUUUUAUCUCACUAAUUCUUAAUACCUGCUUGUUAAAUGGUUAAUCUAGAUUUGUGUUGUACAAUACUUGGUACAACAAAUGUUUGACACUCUCAUAGCCUAACCGUAUGGUAUUAUGGUAUUACCUAUACCUAUGUUGUGCAAGGAACUUGAUUUGUUGUUAACAUAAGUUAGCAUCAUGAAUUCCUGAAAAUAUUUAAAAGUUUGGUAUUACUUAAAUAAGAUAAUUAAUAUAAUCAUGUUAAUAAUUUAUAAUAAGCUAUUAAUGAUAAAUCAUCCGAUUGGAACCUCUUUUGUGUGUGGUUUCUAGUUGAAUAAUAAGAGUUUAUAGUAUACUUGUUUGAAAUACCAUUAGUGGAUCCUCUAACGUUGACAUUUGUUUUUAUCAUUGUUUAAUCUUUAUAUUAAUCUUUCAUCUCAAAGUUCUCAUCAACUUUUUCUUCAUCUUCUUUAUUAUUAUUAUUGUUGUUGUUGUUGUUGUUGUUAUUGUUAUUGUUGUUGUUGUUGUUGUUGUUGUCGUUGAUGUUGUUAUAUUAUUGUUGUCUAUAAUUUAUACAAUUAACCUCCCUGUGGUUUGACCCCGUCUUGCCUGGUUAUUUAUUACUUCGACACUCUUACACUUAGAAGAAAACAUCAAUCUUUUGGUCGUGUCAAAUUGCACUAUAAGAUAGCGAUGUGUUUUUUUUUAUAUUGUUCCUUAAGAACAAAAAAGUUUAUUUUGGUACCUAUAUUUUUGAAGUUUUACAUAUUUUUUUGGUAAUGCAUUUUUACAUACUUUAGGUGCGCUCGAGCUUGAUUUUUUUUGUCCGUCACCUUUUUUCUUCUCUUUUCAAUCAAUAUUUUUGUCUUAAAAGAAAACAAAAUAAAAUUCUAUUCUAAAUAAAAUUAUUGAUAUGAUAUUAAAAACAUUAUCAUGCUGUGCUAUAAUUUUUAAAUAAAAUUAUAGUUUUUAUGGUAAUAUUAAUAAUUGUUUUAUAAAUGAUAAACAUCAACAACAACUGCAAAUUAAAUUAAUUUUGUCUUAAUGAUAAUUUUUUAAACUCAUAAAAUCGUAGCUAAUGGAGUGAUUGUUGGAGAGGUUUAUAUUUUUUAUUACAAAACUAAUAAAUCUAAAAAGGAUGAAUUAUUUUGUGUAAGAAUUUUUAGGCCUAGAAAAAUGGGAUUUGUGCUUGUGAUAAUUAUCUAGUAUUGGAGAUGAAAAGAAAGAACCAAAAUUUUAAAGGAAUAAAUAUAAUGAUAUUUUGAUUUGCAGUGUGGUAAUAAAUAGGAGCAACAUGGGAUCAUUCCUUUCAAAGCCAAAAAGAGGAAUUUAUUGAAGGGGAAAUAAGAAAUAUUUUGUUAUUCUUAAGAGGGGAUUCUUUCUUUUAAUUGUUGGUGUUCCUGUGAUUUCUUAUAUUUAGAUGUGAUUUAUUAAUAAUAAUAAAUAAAAAUAAUAAGAAAUAGAAAGAAAUUCAUCGUCUGGAUCGUAUAUCAACAUCCAAUUAUUAAAAAAAAAUGAAAAAAGAAAAGGUUCCAUCACAACUCAUAUAGAUACAAAUAGUGGAAGCAAGAAUAUUUGACAUAUUUCAUUUUUAAGCAGAAACUUGAUUUUUCUUCCUGAAGGGUUGCAGAACAUUUCCACACUUCAAGAUCUGCGUUUCCGCCCCUGGAAUCCAGACCUUAAAAGGCGAUUGAUGGGUGAAGAGAAUUACAAGAUCAAGCACGUCCCAAAUAUUUGGAUGGUUUGAGAAUCGUUGAUUUUCCAACCAAGAAAUGGAAAAACAUUAACCACAAUAGUUUCCACAGGAAGUCUUUCAAGGAUGAAAUGCUUUUGCUUUACUCCUCAAAUAUCAUCUCCUGCUUUCUGUUCAUUUACUUCAAUAUUCUGGUGAAGUAUGCUAUCCUCUACUGUCUUGUAUACCUAAAUUUGUGCAAUCUCCAGCGGAGAAACCAGUGUACUAGACUUCAAAAAAUCCAUCUUAAUGAUGAACGAUGUGUUUAUCUAUUUGCAUUUCCUUAAUAUCUGGAUUAUUAUCUAAUUAUUCUAUAGAAUUGCCCUUCUUGUAGAUUUCUUAAGGAUUGAAUCCUUAGAAAAUCAAGGAGACAGAUCUGUCUUUCGGGUUACCAGUGAAAAUUUAUUCUUGUUUUUUUCGUUUGGAAGUGGACUUGCUAGAUAAGAAACACGUCUAUUAUAUUGACAACAGUUCAUAUAAAUUAUACAUCCCAUUCCGUGUUUACAUAGAAUCAAAGGCGUAGCAGAUAUUGUGUCUACAUCGCAUUAAAAUUUGAAUAAACCAUCGGAUGCACGAGUAUGAACUACCCUGUAUCCCUAGUUAGCCUAGAUGCUACUGUGUCCUCUUAAUGUUCUCUAAUACAGGCGUGAUAAGAACAUUUUAUUUGAUGAUAGAGCUUUCUUCUCGUCCCAUGUAUCAAGUCACUACAUUUCCAUUGGUAUUGUCGAUGAUUGCUGAUAACCUCUCCAAGAAAAGGUUAAAGGCUUCUGGUGGACUAAACAUGCUUAUUCUGACAUACUUUGGACUAGCCCCAAACCUCUCCCCACUUCUUGCUAUUAUCUUAUGCUCUCUUAAACGACUCUCCCAGUCUAUAUCCUCCUUGCUGUGCAACCAUGCAAAAGCUGUUUGCAGAAAAGCAAAAUAUGUCAGAAGAGAUUUUCAAAUGAGCCUACAAUAAAGUUGGGGUGUCCUAUUUCAAAAGUAACAAAAAUAAUAUUGAUCUAAUUAUGAGCAUUACCAGGAUUUGAAUACAUGUACUUUCCAGUGAAGUUGCAGUAAUCUCGUGGGUACUUUGGCAGACUGAAGACUCUGCUGUUCUUGACAACAUUUCGCAAUCUCUCCCACCUUUCUUUCAGAAUGCUAUGGCUAUACUCAAAGAAGUUCUCUGAAUCAGCAGUCCUACAACCUUCGCCAAGCACUCCAAGAAUCUUCGCAGCUCGAAUCUGAGAUUCUUUAGAUACACCGAUGGAACUGAUCUGCAUGUAUUCAGUCAUCUUUCUAGCUACCUCUUUAUCCUUAACAAGUGCCCAGCUUCAAUUUGGAAACAAAAUAAUUAGCAGAAAGGAACAAGAAUGAACUACAAAUUAAACACAGGCAAAGAAGAAUGAUAUAUUGUUGCGAUCUUCUUAUUCCAACAAGUCAUGCAUGGCGACAUUAAUCUCUUUAACUAAAGAAUGUCCUGCUCACCCAAUCCGGGAACCAGCAUGUCCAGUGCAUUUGGAAAAUGUGAACAGCAUAAUAUCAUGAUCCAAGGGUUGAGUGAUAGGCGUGUAUUGUGGCCAGUAGUAGGCAAGGUCAUAGACAAGCUUCCCUUCUCCACGGUUCACCACAGCUUCUCGGACAGCACCGUCAGGAUUAUUCGGCGAGGUUACGACCUCAAUAUAAGGUCCAUCCUUAUCGAAGGUGUGCGCAUCUCCCUCCCAUUUAUAGAGUCCUGAACGCAGGAAUUCUGCCUGAUCUUUAUAUCCCUGCAGGCAAUGAAUAUCACAGGCACAUAAAUGAAUUAAUCUUCCACGACGAAUGAAGGGCGCCGGAGAAUUGACCUGUCCUCUUUUUUUUUCUUUUUUCUUUUCACCAUAGACGCACCAUGAGGUAAGAAACCAAUACAUGUCUUGAAUUAGUAUUUUGUCAGUCAAGUAACAUGAACAGGAAAUUAAGAAAACUUGCAAUCACAUUAUGGAUUAAUUAAUCACAUAUGCGUAAAUAAAUGCAUGUGAAUAAGCAUGCAAGCAGUCAAGCAUUUGCAACUCUGUUGAUGCCCAAUUGCAUAUGAUAUAAUUAAAUAAACUCAAGAACCGAGGUUCUGCAGCAAAGUUUGUGGAAAAUGUGGGUAACAUGCAAAGUUGUCUGCUCCAAGGACCGCAACAAGGGAGAUGGAUUUGCUAUUUUCUAAGAUGAAACAUCUUUGUUCCUGCUCGCGUAGCAAACGCCAGGCGCAAGUUCUCCCAAGUUUUGACACAAACGAGACAUGGUCAUGUUACCUAAAUCUUAGUUUCUCUUUACGAAACAUGUUUGUCGCCAUGUCUUUUGUUACAAACAGCACUCAUUUUUAUUUAUUGAUUAAUGAGUUAUUUUAUUUGUAAGAAAUACCAUUAACGUGAUGUUCUUAUUAAAUUAAGCUCUUUCUUUUUCAGAAAUAAUCUUAAUGAUCUCGCACGUACGACUUUUUCACUGAUGGCUGCGCCGGCCAAGCUUAAUUUCCUUAACCAGGCAAAGAUGGCUCUCUAAAUAAAUAAAUACAUGAGAAAUUAAAAAAGUAAACUAAAUUUAAGCAGUUCUGUUUUAUGCAAGACAAAUAAACAAAAAAAAAGAAGAUUAUAUUAGAUACUCUUGUUGGUUUGACUUUGACUUAUCAAAACUGUCUUGGCUGGUUUCAGAUCUCCUAGGUAUACAUCCUUAGAGGAUCUGACUCCUCUAAUGUUAGAGGUGACCCGCCUCAUCAUGUCAAAAAACUAAAAUUAGAACGUUGAUUUUGAAAUUUAUAAUUUGAAUUUUCUCAAAUAAAAAAAUAACUAUUAAUUUUAAAAAUAAAAAAAGAUCUGCCCACCAAGUAAAAUAAAUCUCAAAUACUGUGUUUUAGAUUAAUAUAUAGAUUUUCUUAAUAUAACGGAUCAUGCUAUCCCUAACUUAAAGGGAGAGCUCAUUCCAAUCGUUUGAAGAUCGUCAUUGAGUUCCAUGAGUAGGUUAUUAAGCCAGUAUUGAGUCUGGUUUUACACCAUCAGAUCAAGUGAAAGCAUGUAAAGACUUGCACCAAAUUAUGUAAACUGAAAGAAGUUUGAUGAGGAAGGGAGCGGUGGCUACCGAGUAAAAAGGAGCAGCAGCUACAAGACUGACGGGGUGGCGAUCAGCCGGAGAAGAGAGAGCAUACAGAGCAGCCAUUAAGAGCUGUGUUGAACCUGUCCCAACCACGAUGUGGCGAUCCUCUGUUACUGCGUUUCCAACAACACGAUGCAGUCGCUUUAUGGCAUCACCAAGUUGUGGCUGCAAAAACCAGCAAAUGUUGCUAAUAUCACUGAAAUAGCUCAUCAAAUCACACCCUUCAAUCAUCAACGUACACUUGUCUCCCAUUUUCCUCCAGUAUGGCUCGAACAACGUUGGAUCUCCCCUGCAUUUCCGCAUAACACAUCACUUCCUCGUACGUUAAGAAAAACUCUAUCCCAGAUAACAACACUACGUGAUAAUUAUACCAAACUAAAACUGUUAAACCGUAAAUGACUAUAGCCAGGCCAUUGCACCGGCGCAAUGUAGCCACAACGAGGUGGUGUAUGCUUUUAAUUUCCGAUAGAAAACAAAAGAAUUUAAUAAACGUGAACUUACUGAUCUAGAUUGAUCAUGGAAUCCGGUGAGAGACUUGUCUUUGUGGGCUUAGUUGUCGUCGGAGAAGAGUUUUGGUUAUUGGUUGCUCCAUUCUCUAAACCGCCCAUUUUUCUCUUCUCUUUUCUUCUGUUCUUUUGGUUUCCUCAACUACAGUCAGUGCUCGUGGUUUCUCGUAUACGUGCUUUGAUGGGCUAUGCAAAUACCUGUAUUUAUACUAAAUUAAUGAUGCGUCAGAAACUCUUUUUUUUUUUUUUUCAAUUCUGUAUAUGAGAGUACAUGUUAUAUUAUACGUGGGGGUGUUUUUAUUCUUGCUUUGCUUUGGUUUUUUUAUUUUUAUUAUGUUACCAAGCAUCUAGACUUUUGUAGUUAUAUUAUUCUAUAUUUUCUCAAGAAAAGUUGCAAGAUUAUCUGUCAAAUGCAAUUUUGCUUGUUUCCAUUCCAUAAUUAUUCCUAACCCAUAUUAACAUAUUAUCAUUGAUGGAAAGAUACAAUGAAUUCAAAACAUCAUAUGUGUUGUCUUAAAAAAAUUAGUUUGUAGUUAAAAAUAAUUUUUAAAAAAUAAAAACAAUAUUAUUUUAAUGUAUUUCCAAGUAAAAAGCAUUUUGAUAACAAAAUCAACUAUAUUAUCAAACAAACCCUGAAUUUUGAUGAUAACAUUUGAGAAAUUAUUAGUUUUUUUUAACGUACUAAACUGAUAUAAGGGGUGUAUUUUUAAUUUAUCUAGAAAAAAAAAAUCAAUCUCAAUACCUUUAUUGUUGAAAAAAAAACUAACAUGCAAUGUACAUAUAUCACGCUGCUCACGGGCUCCAAAACCUAUCAAAACAGAAUCUGAUCGCACGCGCGCGCGCACAUACAUGAUAUUUAAAAUACACAUAGCAUAAAUCAUGAGAGAUAUUGUAGAAAAUGAAGUUCCUAAAUGAGAAAUAAAUGAGAAACAUGCAAUAUAUCAACCAAUGAAUUAAGAGUGUAUUUAAAAAUGUGAUGGAAUCUUGCUUCUAAUUAAGGGUUUUAAAUUUUUUAUGUUUUUUAAUUAUUUUGAUGUGCUGAUAAAAAAAAAAAUUUAAAAUUCAUUUUAAAAAAAUUAUUUUAGAAAAGCUCAAUUCCCAAUCAAUUUAAUAUUGAAGGAUAGAAUCAUAAAAAAAAUCAAUUUAGAAAAAUAACUCGAGAUAACUAGUGAUAUUUUUAAAAUCAAUGAAAAAAUAAAUAAAUAAUAAUAAAGCCUACUCAGCCUAGCCUCCAAUUGAAUAAAUGAUAAAGGAUAAAAUUAAAAAAAAAUCAAGUAAACCCAGACGAACCUUCUAUAUUUAGGUUAACCUCUAAACUCACAACCCUUAAAAUCCUGGAUCUGGACUUAAUAUAGAGGCUAAAUCCCUGACCAAUUUAAUAUUAAAGGGUGAAUCCAAAAGAAACUUGGGCAUUUAUUACUUGGAUCAUAUUCGCGAUUUAUUUCCAUACUUGAACAAAUAAGAAUUUGGAAGGUUUAAAUUUUGUAAUUGUCGCUUCUAUAAUAGAACAGUUAAAUAGGAAAAACAAUAACAGUUUAAAAAACUUGUCAAAGUAAAAAAAAAAAAAACAAUAACAGUGAAAAAAGUUAGAAUCAAAUUUUAUAGGAAAAAGAGUCAAGGAAGAUGAAAAUAUGAAAAAGUUAAUUUAAAAAACCAUUUCAAACAAACCAAAUAGAAAUCAAAAAAAUGAAAAUCAAAUUUGAAAGAUUUAAAAAGUAAAAGGGGAUGAAAUUAAAAAAGAAUUCUGAUUUUAUAUAUUAUUCAAAAAAUUAUUACAAAUAUUGAAGGAUGAAAUUAAAAAAAAAAAAAUUUUAAAACUCACCCAAAGAAAAUUCAACAAAGAACAAAAAAAAAAAACCUUGAGAUAAGUUGAGUCAUUUAAAAAAUAAGUGAAAAACUCUAUAGAAAGCUAAUAAAUAAAAAUAACAGAGCUUAAUCUCUAAUUGAAUAAAUAUUAAAUGAUAAAAUUAAAAAAACAUGAGCUUAAAAAAUAAUUAAAAAAAAACAAGCAAACAUGAGCGAAUCACUUAAAGUCAAGCUAAUAUCUAAAACUUGCAACCUAUGCGAUCCUAAACCCGAACACAAUUAAGAAGCCUAAUUCAUAACUAAUUUAAUGUUGAAGGAAGAAAUCGAAAAAAAUACAAAUUUAAAAACUUUGUCAAAGUAAGAAAAAUAACAAUCAAAAGAAUGAAAAUCAAAUUUGAUAGGAAAAUAAACUUAGGGAGAAUGAAAUAAUAGAAAAAAAUAUUAAAAAUAAUCUCAAACAAAAUAAAUAGCAAUCAAUAAAUUGAAGAUCAAAUUUGAAAGAUAAAAAAAGUGGAAGAGGGGGAUGAAACUGAAAAGGAAUUCUAAUUUUGAUUAUUAUUCAAAGUAAAAUAAAUAAUAAUUAAAAAGGACAGUGACCAAAAGUUAAGAGAAAAAAUUAAAGGGAUUGGUUUGAAAUUUUGAACAAUUUGACUCAAAAUUUGAGGUGGAAAGAGAAGGAGGAAAAACAAGAAAUCGUUGUCAGUAUCAAAUACGAGGUGUGUUUAAUGCACAUGCCAUCCCGUCGUUGAGAGGAUACGAAAACCUUUUUAAAGUGUCAUUAAAUAUCGUGUUUGGUGACCAGACAAAUUGAUAAGCACCACUUGAAAGGUACUGGGAUCAUCGACUUGCUUGUGCGUGCCAUACACGUGUUUAAAGGUUUUUUUAAAAAUAAUGUUUAAUAAUAUUCAUAUAUAAAAGUGCUCUGAUUCUCUUUGAUAUUUUAAAAAAAAAGGCCACAAUAAAAGGACCGAAAGGCUCCUAAAAGAGAAUUUAGUGGAAUAUGUCAUUUAACUAUUUAAAAAUAAAAUUAAAAAUUAAAAUUAAAAUAAUCCUAAAUAUAUAUUAAUUUUUUUUUUAUUUGAGGGAUAACUAUAUAAUUUUAUUGUGCAUAAAUAAUAAGAAGAUUAAUAUGAACACAUUACAUUGCCCGUAAUGUCUAAGAUAAAGGUUUUAUUGUUUACGAAAUUUUUUGGUAUUAUGUUAUUAUAAUAAACAGUGUUUAGAUUCUUGAUUUUAAUUUUUUUAAUUUAAUUUAAUUUAAUUUGUUAGACUUUCCCUUUAUUAAUAUUUAAUAUAAGUGUGCGUUUAGAUUAGUAUUAUUAAGACAAUUGAUCUUUUUAUUAUUUUUAUUCAGUUGAUUCUCUCAAUUUUACCUAAAUUAUUUUUUAAAAUAUUUUUUUCUAUUGCUUAUGUUUUUUUCAUUAAAAAAAGGCAUAUAGCACACUCGAACGUCCACCAACACAUGAUUUGCUUUGUGCAAGAAAACAGAAAUCCAUGACUGAUGGUCGGUCGGCUUGAAUAUCAUGUGCCAUCAAUGAUGAUGAUGCAUGUGCUAUUCACUGAUAAAACAUGGGGCUUUUCAAACGUUCUUUGUAUUUAGACUUGUUAUUAUUAACAAAACAAUUAAAAGAUAAAUAAAUUAAAAUAUUGUUUCGGUUUCACGAGUGAGAUGAACAGUUAAACAACUGGCUUUCUUUUUUUCAUUUUCUUUUUUAUCUUUUAUCAUACCUUUUUAUAUAGCCUAUUUAGAAAACAAUUAGGCUUGGAAUUAUAAUAAAAAUAUAAAAUUUAAAGAUAAAAAAUUAACAAGUAAAAUAUAAAUAAAAUAUAUAGCAAACCACACAAUAAAAGUCCUUCUAUUUCAUUUGUAAUUAUAAAUUCAAUUCAAUAUUAAUUUAGAUGUUUAUUUUUCACCCACUUUUGUGUAAAACGUGCUAGCCUGACUUGCCAGACCCAACAUCACUUGAUUUUUUUAAAAAAAAAAUAUUUUUUUAAUUAAUGCCCUUAUAUAUAUAUAUAUAUAUAUUCAAAAUAAUUUUUAAAUUUAUAUGUAAAUAAUGCCUCAUUUUUCUUUUAUUUUGUUUAUCUAGACUCUUUUAAAUAAAUAUUAGUUUUUAGUUAUUUUAUAUGCAUUUAAAUUUUAGAGAGAUUAUUUUAAUUCAUCUAUAUUUUUUAUAUAUUUUAUAUAAAUGAAAUUUAUUUUAAAAAAAUUUAAAUAUUUAUUUUUGGAUAAUAUUUUUAAUAUAUGUAAUCUUGUAUAAUAUUUUUUUUUAUCUUUUAUUUAUUAAUUAAUUUCAUGUGUAUCUAUUUUUAUUAUCACUUAUUUAAAUAAAAAAUUAAUUUUUGUAAACAGAGUUGUGAAUUUUUGUAAAUUAAUUUUUAUUAUCUUGGUCUAUAUGUGACUUUCAAUUUUUUAGUUUUUAUCUUUAUUUAUCAUUAAUGACUUUUUAUUUAUUUAUUUAUUAAUAUAUAUUAAUUUAUUUUAUUAGAUGUACCUAUAAGUUUUUUAAUUUUAAUUAAAAAAAAUUUAAAAACAUAUAUAUUUAUUUUUUAUAUAUAAAAAAAAAUCCUUCCCACAACAAAGUACAAGUGAAAGAGCUAUUAAAAACUAGCCAGUAUAGGUUUGAUAAAGAGGAUAUUGGGCUGGUAUAUCAUAUUAUUACUGUUAUUAAUUUUUACCACUAUAUAAUAAAAAAUAACAACAGUGCAUUAUUGUGCUCAAUUUGGGCGGGACUUGUCGCACGUGUGUGGCGGCACGGCGAUCGUCCACCCUCAAGGAAAAAUCAGAAUAAUUUAUUCCUGGCAAAUAAAAUAGGGAGAGACAAGGAAUUCUUGUCUCUACAAGUGAAAAUAUGGACUGGGAGUCGCCACCUAGUAUUCUGGUUACUAGGAACCUUAACUGGUCUUUAGAGAUCGGGUACGGAGACUAGUUGCGUAAAGGGAAGGUAUUAGCACCACAACUACGUCCUACUUAAGGUAGACUGCAUUGUUUUAAUGUCUGAUAAAAUCUAAAAUCGUGUUGUGGUUUUUUUGAAUUUUUGGUUCGUUUACGGUUUAAGAAAAGUCCUCCUCUGUAAGGAGGUCCUUAUCUUUAUCGGGUAAAAAAAGUACUAUUCGAAGUCGUCAAAAGAAAAUAUUUUUUUAAUAUCAGGAAUACGAUUUACGCAUAAAUUCAUAAUCCCUGAUACUAAAAUCAAACAAAAUAAAAUAUUUGUUGUUUUUUGAAAUUUUGGCCAAUGUUCUCUUGACUUUAAUAAACUGGUUAUUAAAGCCAAAAUGCAUGCUAAAAUAUUGUUUUUUGACAUAUGAAAAAUACGAUAUGAUUUUUUAGAUUUGAGACACUUGGCCGUAUGUACAAAAACAUUUUUUUAUCUUUUUUUCAAUUUUUUUUUAUUUUUGGAAGUUUUUGCCGAAAACCGAGUAUUUUAAUACCGGAUUUAUAUUUUUACGAUGUAAAAAUACUGCCCGAUAUCAAUCAAAAUGACAUACAAACGACGCGGAAAAAUUAUAAAAUGCCGAAACAAAUAUUUUUGAUUUUUUAUGUUGUGUGAACAGUACCGCGGGACGAAAACCGGGUAUUUUAAUACCGAAUUUAUAUUUUUACGAUGUAAAAUACAGACCGAUAUUAAGCAAAAUUGAUAAAAAAAAAAAUGUGCUAAAAAAUUGUAAAAAAACUUCUGAAAAAAAAAAUUGAAAAAAAAAAAUUGAAAUGGGCCGGGUCCGGUAACCAGCCCUCUUCAGCUGCAGAACGUGAAUUAAUUCACGUUCUGCAUGCAAACGAGGGAGGCAGCAAACGGAGAAGGCGACAGGGCGGCGAGAGAUUACCUGCGGUGACGUCGUGGCGGUGCUGCCGGCGGCGUAGGCACGGUGGCGGAGGCCGGCGGUGGUUCUCUCUCUCUCUCUUCUGUUUUUCUUCGUUUUCUUCCCUGCUGCUUCUUCUUCUUCUUCUUCUUCUCUGCCCUCUCUCUUCUCUUCUCUUCUAUCUCGGUUCGUCUCCCUCUCCCCUCUGUUCUUCCUCUCCUUCUUCGGUUCCCUUCCCCUGUUUUUAUAGGCAAAAACAGGGGAAGGCCGAAUGGUGGGGCGGCCACUAUUGGCCGCCCCUCCACUAUCUGUUCAAAAGGUGGCAAGUGGGCUGGUGUGGUAGGUGUCUUAUUGCGCAAAAAUAGGGAAAGAGGUUAGGCGAAAAGGGAGAAGAAAAAUCUUCUUCUUCCCCUGCCUCGCGUGUCCAGGGGAAGAAGAAGAGCUACAGUGCCGUCAAAACGGCACCGUUUUGGGCAUCUGUAUUUUAUUUUUUUUUUUUUUGCAACAGUGAAUGAAACGGCGCCGUUUUGGUCAAAACGCGCCGUUUCAUUUAAAAGGAAAAGGCGCCAAAAGCAUCAGAUUCAAAUUUCGGCCCUCCAUUUGCGCGCGUUUUACAAUUUAGUCCUUGGUCUCGGAUUUCUUCAAUUAAGUCCCUAAUUGGCCAUUAAACUUCAAUAUUUAUGCAAUUAAGCCCCUAAUUUGACCAAAUUAACUUCCAAAAAUUUAAAUUUGACCCCAGAAAAUUAAUUCCUCCUAAUUAAAGCCCAAAUUAACUCCAAAAUCAAUUUUUCUUGCAAUUAAAAUCUUCAUAAAUGCAAUUAAACCUUCAAUAAAAUUUAAUUGAGUCCAUAAACUUCUAAUUUUGCAUUUUUCUUCCUCAAAAUUGAAUUUUCUUUAUCAUCGGGGCUCUCAUCAGUCAAUGAUAUACUGUCAAAAAUUAAUUUUUAUACUUUUGAACAUCCUCAAUCAAUUUUUGAACAUUUUUAGAGCGCUCUGGCAUUUUUUCACUGUUAUAUUUUUUGAUAAUAUAUUUUUUUGAAUUUUUUUAUAUUUUUUUUUAUGUGGGGACCCAAAAAUGGGUUACAACAGGACUUUUCAAGAACAAUGUUGUUUUCUUUCAUUUUGGUCAUCAAUGAUGAUGUUGUUUUUGCGUAUUCUUGGAAGUUAAAUUUGAAUUUGCUUCUCUUUGUACUCAUUGUUUUAGAGACAUAAGAAUUUGAAUUUAUAGUAAAAAAAAAUUAAAAAAACAAGUACCAAAAUAACUAAUAACAAUAUUAUCUAUUGUUCGAAUGAUGCAUAAAAAUAUAAUUUCAUCCUUAAAGUUUAAUUUAUGCAUAUUUGAUCUCUAUAGUCUUAGAAUUAUAUGUUUCAAUCUUGGACUUCUUUUUUUAUUUAUUUAUUUUAGUCUUUAAGUGUAGAGAGAUGCUAGAAAAAAAAGAAAAAAAAGACAUCACUCAGUCAGUUAAAAAAAUCAAUCUUGUUAUCAAUAAAUUUGUCUUACAUAAAUAAGUUCUAUAAAGAUGGUUUAGAAUUUUUAUCCGGUUAAAGUCAAAAACACAAAUUGAGGCUUAGAAUUUUUUUUUCUUUGGUUUGAUUCUAGAUGUUUAAUAGAUUGGAGGGCAUUUUGGGGUUAAAAUGAGUUUAAAGAGGUUCUUAAUAUAUACAUGUGUGUGUGUGUGUUUUAAAGUAAAAAUAAGUUGAAAAAUAGGUUUUGAAGUUGUAGAACUCAUACUUUAAAUUCAAAUAAUCAUGAAAGGUCAAAAUUCAAACUAGAAUGUGGUGCCUAUUGUUUUUUAUUAAAAAAAAAUAUUAGAAAAAAUAAAGCAUGGAAUAAAAGAUUUUUUAUGGUAAAAUUAACCAUUACUUUGUGAAUUAUGAUAUAAGAAGGUAAUAUGCAAAGUUUUUUAAAAAAUGUUCAUAACUAUUAAAUGAGAAUAAAACUAUUUUGUUAUUUUUUAUUAUAUAAUUUUUACAUAAUUUUGAUGAUUAAUUAUUCUUUUAUGUUUUUCUUCUAUUGUGUACAAAUUAUUGAUUCAUGAUUUUUAUAUUUUUUUAAUGAAAAUUUCUUUUCAAAUCAUAAUAAAUCUUUAUUUAGAAAACAAUACUUCUAUUAAAAAACAUGUUUUCUAGAAACAAGAAAGAAAUGCAUGAAUAAUAAAAGCGAUUUUUAAUUGAAAACGAUACAUUUUUCCCUUUUUUAAUUCAAAUAAUUAAUAUUUUUAUGAAUAUUUAUUUUAAUUAUUUUUAGUUUUUAUUCAAAAACAUGCUACUAAUUAAAAAAAAAAACAUGUUCUUGUCAAACAAAAAUACAUGAAUAAAAAUUGAAAAACUCACCUAACAAAAUAUUUUUUUUCUCCACAAUUUAAAUCUUUGUGUUUUUUUUUACAAAUAUCAAUUUUAAAUACCACAAAACUAGAUGAAAAAAGAUUUUGAAAACCGCCGCAUAAGGGAAAAAAUUAGUAAAUAUAUUAAAAGAGCUAGACUUUUUAUUGUAACUCUAUAUUGUUCAAAUAGAAAUAAAACAUUGUGAAUUACUUCGUAGAAAAACAAAGCAAUCUCUAUUGUUCACCUACAAAUAAGACAAUAUUAAUUGUAUACUCUAGCCCCUAAAGCUUUUAAUUUUUUAAUUUUUGGUCCUUUUAGUUUAAAGCCCGUUAGUUUUGGUCUUUAAAUUUCAUUUUUAUAAUAUUUCAUACCCUGUAUUCUAAGAGAGGAGAGAACAACUUCUUACUGAUUCAUAUUUAUUUCACACAAAAAUCAAUCAUAGUAUUAAUAAGUUCGUCAUCUUAGAAAGAAAAUGUAAAAUGAAGGUGCCUUUUCUAUUUAACUACACCUAAAAAUAGAUCAAAACAUUUUAUUAUAGAAACAAAACACUAUUCAUUUUACACUUUUAUCAUUGUAGUUUUUAAAUUUUUUUUUCAUAUUCGAUCCAUGUAAUUUUUGUUUUGUUCAUUUUAGUUUUCAAACUUUAUUUUCAUCACAUUUUUGUUCCUGGAUUCUAAGAGAGGAGAAAGAAAAUUGUUGAAAAACAAAAAAAAAUAUAUUUUUUAGCUAGCCAUAAAAGAGACUAAUCUUGGUGUUAAAAACUUCAUUCCAAUUAUUAGGAAUUUUUAUUGAAUUUCUUUAAGUUUGUACGGAAAAAACCAUGUUGUUGAUAAAAACAAAAAUCAUGGCUAUGUCAAAUUAUUGAAAUUAUUUCAAGUAUUUAUUUUAAUAGUCAUAAAAUCAAAUAUAAGCAGGUUUUAAAAUGACCCUGCGACUUCCUGUGGAUAACAAACUAGUAAACUAAACUAAAAUUGAGAAUAAAAUUGUAUUUUAAUCACAUUGUUUUUGUCUGUUACCUUUUUUCUUCUCUUUUCAAUCAAUUUUUUGUCUUAAAAAAUAGAGAAUAAAAUUGUAUUCUAAAUAAAAUUAUUGAGACGAUAUGCCAUGCUACAAUUUUUAAAUAAAAUUAUAGCUUUUAUGGUAAUAUUAAUAAUUGUUUUAUAAAUGAUAGACAUCAAUAACUAUGAAUUAAAUUAAUUUUUUCUUAAUGAUAAUUUUUCAAACUCAUAAAAUUGUAGCUAAUGGAGUGAUUAUUGGAGAGGUUUCAAAACUUUAUACUUUUUAUUACAAAACUAAUAAAUCUAAAAAAAAUGAAUUAUUUUGUGUAAGAAUUUUUAGGCCUAUAAAAAUAGGAUUUGUGCUUCUGAUAAUUUUUUUGUAUUGGAGAUGAAAAGAAAGAAUAAAAAAUUUUAAAAGGAUAAAUAUAAUGAUAAUUUGAUUUUCAGUGUGGUAAUAAAUAGGAGCAACAUGCAUGGGAUCAUUCCUUUUAAAACCAAAAAGAAGAAUUUAUUGAAGGGGAAAUAAGAAAUAUUUUGUUAUUCCUAAGAGUGGAUUCUUUUUUUUUAAUUGUUGGCGGUCAUAUGAUUUUUUAUAUUUAGACGUGAUUUGUUAAUAGUAAUAAAUAAAGAUAAUAAGAAAUAGAAAGAAAUUGAUCACCUGGAUCGUGUAUAGAAUAAAUAGUUUAAUGGAAGUCAGAAUUUUCAAAAAUAUUUGGAACAUUUCAUUUUUAAAUAGAUGAUUUUUUUUUCAAGUGUUCACAAUUAUAUAUUAAUCAAGCUAAUCCUUUGAAUCUAGAUCAAACUUGUAACCAUGUUUUUUUCAAGUCUGGCACCAAUCAAUUCGACUACAAAGAAUAAUUUUUAUUAAAAUAUGUGCAAUUUAUUAAAAACUUUCUUUAGAUAUAAAAUUUUGAGUAUUCAAUGAACCUAAUAUGCAUAUUUUUUUAAACAAAUUGCUUAUGAAUAUUGUAUGAAAAUAAAAUAUUUUUUUCUUUAUUAAAAAUAUUUUAUAUAAUUUUAUUAAAUUAAUUAUUCUUCUAUUUUUUUCAUAUAGUCAUGUAAAAAUUACCAAAGCAUUUGUUUGUUUGUUUGUUUACUGUGUCUUGUUUUUCAAAUCUAUAGGCAACUAGAUAAGCAAAUUAAAAUCUGCAGCAACCAUCCUUUGACAAAUGUUAUGAAUUUAGGCUAUGGGGUAGGUGGGAGGGUCGGAUUUUUUUAAUAACCAAGCAUUAUAUACUUUAUCUUUCGGCCCCCACCAACGCAGGAAGCACCUCGGCUGGUUCGUUGCCAUCACAGACGUUGACUUCAAAUAUUACUAGAUACAAAGUAAAUAAUCUUACAAUACUGUGAUGCACAGCAGAUGCAAAUCAGGACUUCAUUAGGGUUUGUCUGAGCUUGUAAUAUCCAACCAUGCCUUAUUUCAACUUCACUCAAGAGAUAGGCGAACCUGACUUGGUUACCGGGGAAAUUCCGGGGAUUAAAUCUGAAGCUAGUUUUUUUCUAAGCACAUCAGCAGCAGAAGGAUUACGCUCAUCAAGAGUCGCUGACAUCACAGGUGAGAGUUCUUCUUCAGAAUCUUUCAAAUCAAAUUAUGCAAAGCUUCCUGAUUACCUUAAGUCAUGCCUAGACUACUCUGCCAUUGUUUGUGGGAGAUAUGGUGUAGAGAUAGGAAAACUAGUUCGGCUUUUGUUGGCUGAAGGUCUUAUAGAAGACAGACCAGGGGAUAUCAUGGAGGAUGUAGCAGCAAAUGUUCUCAAGGAAUUGAUUGACCUAGGAAUGCUUCAAGAAGAACGACAAGGGACUGAAGUAAAAGUCCCUGCAUCGUAUCUCCGGUUAUGUAUUCUUAAAUUGGAGAAACAAGAUUUUGUUUCUAAAACUGCAAACUCACCUGUGCGUUUAGGGAUCAGAGAUGAUGGAAGGGAUAUCUAUCCUAAAGUUGAAGGCCUUCUAAUUCAUUCUCUGUUUAUUCUCGGUGCAGACCGCCGUGCUUAUUUUGAUUCUUACCGAGGCCUUUCACGGGCCUAUAUGAGAAAUGUUUGUGGUAUGCACUUUCUGUUGGUGUUGGAUUUGGAUUGCUGGAUAGAGCGCUUACCUGAUGAAUUGGGAGACUUGAUUCACCUGAGGUACUUGGGCUUGUUUAACUCAAAUCUAGAUGAGCUUCCAGGGACUUUAGGGAAUCUUAAAAGACUGCAAACUUUGGAUAUAAGGUGGUGUGGA